rnacentral:misc_RNA from 1 species
ACGCGAAAAAAUGCGUAUAACAAACCUGUACAUCCAAAAAAGAUC